AUCUUGUACAAAGGCAGACAGAACAGAUGUUGUGAAAAGAAAGACCCAAAACCUAAAACAUCAUGACAUUUUUACAGAUGUUCACUCAGUUAAACCUUGAUACAACCACAAAAACAACAAAUAAAGCAGCCAGAAACCUAAACUAUCUGACCCUGACUGACACUUUCUGCCACGGGCCAACAGGUUCCAGCCUCCAUCAUCCUGUGUGACUCAGUGACGAUGAUGAACCAACUCACUCUAACCCCUAUGCUAAUGCUAUAUAAUAAUGCUCAUUACUGCAUUAACUAAUGCUAAGGUUAAGAAGGUGUGAUUAUAAUUCAUCUUUGAUCACCAUGGUUUCAUGCAAGACUUUGAGUCCCUCGAUUGCCUUGUGGAUGUACUCCCAAAAAAGCUUAUAGUCUUCAGGGGACUUGAGCCAUUUAGCUUUUAGUUCAGGGAUAAUCUCCAUCACUGCUUCCAAUAGCUUCUUGACUUCCGCAAACUCAGGCCCAAUGUCUUGUAUGUGGUUCAAUAUAUUGUCCGUUAUACGAAAUUGCUCGUCUAUGAGGCUGUUGGCAAUCAUCUCCAAAUCUUCUUCCUGGAAGUGCAGAGAACAACAGGUGUAAGUUUGUAUUUUAUAGCGGCAUAAGCUAUGUUGUUACCUUAUUGUGCUCCAUAUUGCAGUGUCAUAUUUUUUAUGCAUUGUUUAGAUAUUUCUUUACUUCAAGUUUUACAGUUUGUGUUGUUUUUUGUUAUCAGCUAUUUCUGCACCAUGUAAG
ensembl:lncRNA